AUGCCGUGAUGGGGGCAUGCUGCGAUGUAUUUCUGGAAUCUCUCCCAAGUUUUCGGAAUGGUUUCAUUCGGAAGUUGUUGAAAUCUAGAGAUCUUACCUCGGAGAGC